rnacentral:misc_RNA from 1 species
CACACCGACUUCCUGGUUAAGGAAUCCUUGGGCAAGACCGCAAGGGAAACAAUCACCAACCUGAGAAACAAAUAGCAAGCAAGCAAUAGGGACGAUGACGAUGAGGCUGUCUUCCAUAGCUUUGUGGCUCUCAUCCUUGUUGAUUCUCUCGACUGUGUCUUAUGUCUUUUCUGCACCUCGUUCGCUGCUUCAGAGAUUGUCCGAAAGCAACAAGUACUUGACCACUGAAGAGCUCUGGUUCAGUCAGAUUCUCGAUCACUAU